GGCAGUACCAGCAGCUGAUUUUCGUGUCCACAGCUGCUGGAUCUAGCCCUGUUUUCCAUGUACUCAUUGGGCAGAGGGCUUUUCCUUCAAAGUAUCUAACAUGAAAAAUACUAGAGAAGACCACAUUUUGGAAAUGGAAUACGCAGGUCCCAUGGUAUUCAUGCAAGCCACUUACAACAUCAGUCUCCCUGUUCUUGCAAGUGAACCUACUCAUAAGGACAUUUCCUUGGGGCUAACGGCUUUAUGAAUGUUGACAUCUGUUGCAUGCAGUAAAUUGAAGACUCGAGGAGGAGAUGAACUACUCUCUGAAAAUUCUUCUUGCUCCCUAUGGUCCAUAAAGAGAAUCUGAAAUGACUGCUUUUGUUGUUGCAAAGCUGGAAACAUUCAAGUUGGAGCAGUUUUUGAAACUCUUCAUUAUCUCCUGGUUUUCAAAUUAAGCAAAGGAAGAUUAUUCAUCCACAAACCUGUAAGGAAUUUAGAAUGAAACCUUAAAAAUUAAAAUAGCAAACUGAAAUUGUGUGAAAUGAUUUUAGUGGAACCAGGAGAAACAAUGGAAUCCUACCCCUAGGCAAUGAUUCCUGAACAUCUGUAAGAGAAAUUUAUGAAGUAAAUUAUGUGGUGUGUUGGUUGUGAUUUUAAAGACUGUGUUUCUAGCUCGGAAGCAAGAACAGAUAAUCUCAUCAUUUGCUUCCAUGUGGGAAAAAUACACAAAAGGAAAAUAUAUGAGGAGCAGCCAACAGAGGAUAAAACAUGAGUGUUAUCUAUAAGAAAAAAGAAUAUUAUAUUUAAUUUAACAGAGGGUUAAUGGACUAGGAUGGACAUGGGAACAACUAUGUUCUAGAGAACAUGUCCAGAGCCUGGACACUACUUUUUCUUGCUUGUCAAGUUGUCAAGUUACUUGACAUCUUUGAGAAGCCACUUGGCCAUUAUGUUUUCUUUUCAACUCUUUGCCUAGUUGCAUUGCAGUUGAUGGAGACAAGCAAUUUUCUUUCUAUUUCUUUGACCUCAGUCCUGUAUAAGCCUUUAACUAAUAAAAAUGUCUAACACAUCUGUGAUGGCAUUUGGUAGGCUCUGUUUGCUGUCAGAACUGAACUCUUAAUGACCAAUUUAGUUUCUCCUUUACUGGGAUACUGAGAUUGUGUUGCAAAAAUUUAUAUAUAUGCCAACUUUACUUGUCAUUGAAUUGCUGUGUUAUGGUAAUAUUAUGUGAGGAAUUUAGCCUGUUCUGUUAUUUUACACAAAUUUUACAUCAGCUUUCUCCAUUUAUUUCUACUUUUUUUCAGAGUCAGGAUAUACUGAUUUCAUUCCCCUCUUUGUUAUGACAGAAAUGAGUUGAUUUUUUUUCAUUAGCAGUCAUGAGGACAAGAUUUUAAUGCCAGUGUUAACUGGUCCAGAAUAAUUAAUGAGGGAGGGAGGUGAGGAUGAAGAAGGUGCCUCACCCUCAGAGGCAUACAAAGCUGUCCUGAGUUACCUGACAAAGGAAGAACUCUGCCUAUUGCAGCCUCUUAAUUAACCAUCACAGUUUAUGAAGUUUUGUGAAAACUCCUUGGUUUUUACAAAGUAAUUUUGAGGAUAGUACAAUUUUUUUUUAAAGGAUAACAAUUAUAGUUAUUCCUAAAUAGCUUGACAG